rnacentral:rRNA from 1 species
CAGUAGCCGCGGGAAUACGGAGGGUGCAAGCGUUAAUCGGAAUUACUGGGCGUAAAGCGCACGCAGGCGGUCUGACAAGUCAGAUGUGAAGUCCCCGGGCUUGACAUGGGAACUGCAUUUGAAACUGUCAGGCUGGAGUCCUGUAGAGGGGGGUGGAAUUCCAGGUGUAGCGGUGAAAUGCGUAGAGAUCUGGAGGAAUACCGGUGGCGAAGGCGGCCCCCUGGACAAAGACUGACGCUCAGGUGCGAAAGCGUGGGGAGCAAACAGGAUUAGAUACCCGAGUAGUCCCUGUCUCUUAUAC